CCAAACCUGCUACAUGUUGAGAAAGAAAUAAAGAGAUACUAAAAGUGAAAGGAAAGAAAGAAAGUCCAAUAAUAAAGAGAUAUAAAGAGAUAUAAAGACACAAGUAAGCGGAGGAAGGUGAGGAAAGUACAACAGGAAACUUGGGGAUACUGGUACAAUUGGUGAAAGUAAGCAGCUUUCAACUUGGGGAACUGUAUGACUAAAGGGAAACUAUCAAAAAGAGGGAAGACUCAUAGGGGCGGAUACACAAAAUAAGCAACUGUAUAAGAAAGCAUACACGAAUGGAAAUCUUGCCUAACUAACCUUAUUGAUAUUCAAAUUAAUUAUUAUUAUUAGCACGAAAAGAUUAUCCGAAGGAAAAAAAAUACUCAGAGAACAAGAUGGCAACAUUUAAAUUUAAAUCAGACAGAGAAAUAAAAGACCCAAGAGGUGCAAUUAGAAGACCAUCCCUGAAUGAGGAAAUGAACCUGAAGGAUAUGAUGAAAGACAUGAUGAGAGAGAUUCAGAAAAUUCAGGAGAAGCAAGACGUAUACCAGAAAAUACAACAGGAACAAAUGUCGGAUUUUAAAAAGGAGAUUAAAGAAGAACUGGGGAUAAUGAAGAACGAGAUUACAACAUUACAACAGGAAAUAAAGGACCUGAAAAAUGAAAAGAAAGAACUAAAGAUAACUCAAGAAAAGACCCAAUAUAAACUAAAAGAACUAGAGAAAAAAAAUGAAAAAAUAAACGCAAAACAAGAAGCCAUGGAGGCGAGAGAAUUGGAACAUCAAUUAAGAAUGAGAAAUAUACCGGAAGAGCCAGGAGAAAACAUAAGAGAGAAAGUAAUAGAGAUACUAAUGAAACUUCUGGACUGCUCCGAACAGGAGAUACAAAUACAAAUGGACAGAACGUACAGGAUUAACACAAAUUUCUCAAGAAGAAACAAAACCCCGAGAGACGUGAUAGUAAACCUUACAAAGAAAAUUGCAAGAGAUGAAAUAUUGAGAAUAAAUAACAAGAAACAGAUAUUCUACAAAGAGACAAAAAUAGCGAUAUUGAAGGAAGUACCAAAUACAAUAAUAAAUAGAAGGAAAAAAUAUACCUUCCUGACAGAGGAAUUGAAGCAACAGAAGGCGAGAUACAGGUGGGAAAAAAAACUGGGACAAUGCUUUUAUGCCUCGGCAUUAGAAAAAAAAAAGGGGGGGUAG
rnacentral:lncRNA from 1 species